rnacentral:rRNA from 1 species
UACGUAGGUGACUAGCGUUGUCCGGAUUUACUGGGCGUAAAGAGCGCGCAGGCGGUCGUUCAAGUCGAGUGUGAAAGCCCCCGGCUCAACUGGGGAGGGUCAUUCGAUACUGAUCGACUCGAAGGCAGGAGAGGGAAGCGGAAUUCCCGGUGUAGUGGUGAAAUGCGUAGAGAUCGGGAGGAACACCAGUGGCGAGGGCGGCUCGCUGGACCGGUCCUGACGCUCAGGCGCGAAAGCGUGGGGAGCGAUCCGG